rnacentral:rRNA from 1 species
AGCCCUACGGGGUGCAGCAGUUAGGAAUUUUCUGCAAUGUACGAAAGUAUGACAGAUUGAGUCAGAGUGCUUUUCAUAUGAAAAGCUUUUGCCAAAUGUAAAAAGUUUGGCGAAUAAGGACUGGGUAAGACGAGUGCCAGCCGCCGCGGUAAUACUCGCGGUCCAAGUCGCAGCCAUCAUUAUUGGGUCUAAAACAUCCGUAGCUUGCUUAAUAAGUUUCUUGUGAAAUUCCAUGUCUCAAAUAUGGAGCGGGCAAGAAGUACUGUUAAGCUAGAGACUGGAAGACGUAAGAAGUACGUUUGGAGUAGCGGUAAAAUGUGUUAAUCCCAGACGGACUAACAACAGCGAAGGCAUCUUACGAGGACAGUUCUGACAGUAAGGGAUGAAGGCUAGGGGCGCAAACGGGAUUAGAUACCCCUGUAGUCCUAGCAGUAAACACUGCACACUAAACAUUAGUACCUCCUCGAGAGGUGUUAGUGCUGAAGAGAAGUCGAAGAGUGUGCUACCUGGGAAGUAUAGUCGCAAGGCUGAAACUUAAAGGAAUUGGCGGGGAGACACUACAACGGGUGACGCGUGCGGUUCAAUUAGAUUCUACACCGUGAACCUCAC